rnacentral:rRNA from 1 species
UACGUAGGGGGCGAGCGUUGUCCGGAAUUAUUGGGCGUAAAGAGCUCGUAGGCGGCUUGGCAAGUCGGAUGUGAAAACUCCAGGCUCAACCUGGAGCCGCCAUUCGAUACUGCUUGGCUUGAGUUCGGGAGAGGAUGUGGGAAUUCCUGGUGUAGCGGUGAAAUGCGUAGAUAUCAGGAGGAACACCGGUGGCGAAGGCGCACAUCUGGCCCGAUACUGACGCUGACAGCGCGAAAGCUAGGGGAGCAAACGGG